rnacentral:rRNA from 1 species
AUUGAACGCUGGCGGCAGGCCUAACACAUGCAAGUCGAGCGGAGCGGCGGACGGGUGAGUAAUGCCUAGGAAUCUGCCUGGUAGUGGGGGAUAACGUCCGGAAACGGGCGCUAAUACCGCAUACUAUCAGAUGAGCCUAGGUCGGAUUAGCUAGAUGGUGGGGUAAAGGCCUACCAAGGCGACGAUCCGUAACCGGUCUGAGAGGAGGAUCAGUCACACGGGAACUGAUACACGGUCCAGGCUCCUACGCGAGGCAGCAGUAGGGAAUAUUCGACAAUGGGCGAAAGUCUGAUUCAGCCAUGCCGCGUGUGUGAAGAAGGUCUUCGGAUUGUAAAGCACUUUAAGUUGGGAAGCGUUACCUACAGAAUAAGCACCGGCUAACUUCGUGCCAGCAGCCGCGGUAAUUC